rnacentral:rRNA from 1 species
UACGUAGGGGGCAAGCGUUGUCCGGAAUUAUUGGGCGUAAAGAGCGUGUAGGCGGUCCGGUAAGUCGGCUGUGAAAGUCCAGGGCUCAACCCUGGGAUGCCGGUCGAUACUGCCGGACUAGAGUUCGGAAGAGGCGAGUGGAAUUCCCGGUGUAGCGGUGAAAUGCGCAGAUAUCGGGAAGAACACCCGUGGCUAAGGCGGCUCUCUAGUACGGUACUGACGCUGAGACGCGAAAGCGUGGGGAGCGAACAGG